ACGGGCAGACUAGAGUGCAGUAGGGGAGACUGGAAUUCCUGGUGUAGCGGUGAAAUGCGCAGAUAUCAGGAGGAACACCGAUGGCGAAGGCAGGUCUCUGGGCUGUUACUGACGCUGAGGAGCGAAAGCAUGGGGAGCGAACAGGAUUAGAUACCCUGGUAGUCCAUGCCGUAAACGUUGGGCACUAGGUGUGGGGGACAUUCCACGUUUUCCGCGCCGUAGCUAACGCAUUAAGUGCCCCGCCUGGGGAGUACGGCCGCAAGGCUAAAACUCAAAGGAAUUGACGGGGGCCCGCACAAGCGGCGGAGCAUGCGGAUUAAUUCGAUGCAACGCGAAGAACCUUACCAAGGCUUGACAUUCACCGGACCGCCCCAGAGAUGGGGUUUCCCUUCGGGGCUGGUGGACAGGUGGUGCAUGGUUGUCGUCAGCUCGUGUCGUGAGAUGUUGGGUUAAGUCCCGCAACGAGCGCAACCCUCGUUCUAUGUUGCCAGCACGUGAUGGUGGGGACUCAUAGGAGACUGCCGGGGUCAACUCGGAGGAAGGUGGGGAUGACGUCAAAUCAUCAUGCCCCUUAUGUCUUGGGCUUCACGCAUGCUACAAUGGCCGGUACAAAGGGUUGCGAUACUGUGAGGUGGAGCUAAUCCCAAAAAGCCGGUCUCAGUUCGGAUUGAGGUCUGCAACUCGACCUCAUGAAGUCGGAGUCGCUAGUAAUCGCAGAUCAGCAACGCUGCGGUGAAUACGUUCCCGGGCCUUGUACACACCGCCCGUCAAGUCACGAAAGUUGGUAACACCCGAAGCCG
rnacentral:rRNA from 1 species